rnacentral:snRNA from 1 species
GUGCUCACUUUGCUACACUUACACUGAAAUUGGAAAGAUACAGAAAAGAUUAGCACGGCCCCUGUGCAAGGAUGAGAACGAUCGUUCCAGAACAAGUUGUUCUCUUU